AAGGACGUGAUAAGCUGCGAUAAGCUUCGGGGAGUUGCACGUAAACUUUGAUCCGAAGAUUGCCGAAUGAGGAAACUCACUUAGAGUAAUGUCUAAGUAUCAUUAAGUGAAUACAUAGCUUAAUGAGGGGAACUCAGGGAACUGAAACAUCUAAGUACCUGAAGGAAGAGAAAGAAAUUCGAUUCCGUAAGUAGCGGCGAGCGAACGCGGAUUAGCCCAAACCAAUAAAGUUUUCUUUAUUGGGGUUGCGGACAUAUCAUAACGAAGAGG
rnacentral:rRNA from 1 species